UAGGGAAUAUUGCAAAAUGGGCGAAAGCCCGAUGCAGCAACGCCGCGUGGGCGAUGAAGGCCCUCGGGUCGUAAAGCCCUUUUUGAGGGGAUGAGGAAGGACAGUACCCUCAGAAUAAGCCUCGGCUAACUACGUGCCAGCAGCCGCGGUAAAACGUAGGAGGCGAGCGUUAUCCGGAUUUACUGGGCGUAAAGCGCGUACAGGCGGAUUGGAGAGUUGGAUGUGAAAGCUCCCGGCUUAACUGGGAGAGGUCGUUCAAUACUUCCAGUCUUGAGUGCAGUAGAGAGGAGUGGAAUUCCGGGUGUAGUGGUGAAAUGCGUAGAUAUCCGGAGGAACACCAGUGGCGAAAGCGGCUUCCUGGACUGUAACUGACGCUCAGACGCGAAAGCUAGGGUAGCAAACG
rnacentral:rRNA from 1 species